GCGCCGGUGGUGCAAUGGCGUAGAGCAUUCCCGCCCGGUCAGAGGGAGAUGCGGGUUCGAGUCCCGCCUGGCGCU
rnacentral:tRNA from 1 species